GCUCAGUAGGUAGAGCAUGAGAUUCUUAAUCUCAGGGUCGUGGGUUCGUGCCCCAC
rnacentral:tRNA from 1 species